GCGCUGGCAACCCAGCCUAGGCCGAGAAGGUUCUUAGAUCUCCUAGGAAGGCCAGGCCCCUUUGGGGGUAUUCAGGUCUGAUUUCUCAAGAGCCGCAGAACCGCAGAUGGCAGGGCUGGAAGAGAGCCCGCGGAUGAUUUAAUCCACUCUGGAUUUUGCAAUUCUCAGCCACGGGAGGUUAAAGGAGGAACUGCUUCAAGAAUUACGGAAGUUGCGAACACAGUGCAGAGCAUAUCCAUUUGCCUCGGCCUAGCUUCUCCCCAGUGUGGGCAUCUCACCAGCACUCCUCUGGGCAUAUGUAGAUUGCCCCACCUAUGCAUGCUGCGUUAAAUUCAGACAUGGGGUUCGACUUCUUCCCCAUUUUCUUUUUUUUUUUUCUUCCCCAUUUUCAAAGAAGAAUUCAACAUACUCACCACUUUUGAGCUUGAAACUGAAGAUUAGGACAAAAAGUUGGAUCUCAAGGGGUAGCUGGUUUGGAGGUGGCAGGACAGGUGACCCCGCGAUGGUCCUUACGGCUGCCUGUAUGCUUUUCAGGAAGCCUUGAACGGUGCCGGGGAUAAACUUGUAGUAGUUGACUUCGCAGCCCCGUGGUGUGGACCUUGCAAAAUGAUCAAGCCUUUCUUUCAUAGGUAUACAGAGGUAUGAGGAGGAAAACAAUUGACCAGAAGUGGUUGCUUUCUUCCUUGCCAGUAGGUCAUAUAGACCAGCGUUGGAUGAGUGUCAUGGUUGGUGCAGACAGUGCACUUUCUCGAAGGUUCCUGACAUUCCAGUACCUGAACUUGGGAGUCGUCCCUGGCCAUCCUUGCUACCUGGAAAUGAGGCAAACUUAAAAGCGUUGCUCAAGGAGAGGUGACAGAUAGUUGGAUAAUGCCUUCAUGACAGUUGGGAGUUCCUGAACUGGCUGCGCCUGAAGACACAGGCCAAAACGGAUACGAAUACACUUCCUUCAAGAGGGUUUCUGUCGUUUACAAUCAAGAUUUUCUUGUUUGUCAGUCAUGUGUUCCAGACGUUUUCCUGUGUGUUGCUUGUUUUUUGACCUUGUCUAUGAUGAUCUUGGAUGUACGGGGAUUUAAAAAAUUUUUACAUAGUCAAUCCGUUCAUCCUUUCUUUUGGGCUGCAUUUCCUGCUUUAUCUAUCUUCUAUCAUCUAUCAUCUAUCUAUUUACUUAAAGAUUUUAUUUAUUUAUUUAUUCAUGAGGGACACAGAGAGAGAGAGACACACACACAGGCAGAGGGAGAAGCUUCCCAUGGGGAGCCCGAUGUGGGACUUGAUCGCAGGACCCCCGGAUCACGCGCUGAGCGGGAGGCAGACAUUCAACCGCUGAGCCACCCAGGUGUCCCUACAUUUCCUGCUUUAAAAGAGCUUUCUGAUUCUAAUUUAUUUAUUUAUUUAUUUAUUUGAGACACACAGAGAGAGAGAGAGAGAGAGAGACACAGGCAGAGGGAGAAGCAGGCUCCAUGCAGGGAGCCUGAGGUGGGACUCCAUCUGGGGAUUCCAGGAUCACACCCUGGGCCAAAGGAGGGCGCUAAACCGCUGAGCCACCCAGGGAUUCCCCUGAUUCUAUUUUUUUAAUAAAAUUUUUAAUAUUUUUUAUAUUUUCAAUUUAGACCUUUGAGGAAUCUAGAAAUUAAUUACUGUGUGUGGUGUGAGGCAAAUAAUCCCAUUUUUAGAAAAGAGUAAUAUAGGGCCCCUGGGUGGCUCAGCGAUGAAGUGACAGGCUUGAUUUCUGCUCAGGUCAUGAUCUCAGGGUCCUGGCAUCCAGCUGUGGUCAAUCUACAAGCUCAGGCAGGAGUCUGCUUGAGGACUCUCUCCCUCCCCUUCUGACCCUCCUCCCUGCUCGUGCUCUUGCUCUCUCUAAAAUAAAUAAUCUCUUUUUUUAAAGCUAUAUGUAAACGUUCACAUAUACACAUGUACAGGUUAUCUUUGAUUUUCACUGGGUGGCAUAACAAGGAGAACUUUUUGUCUUAGGUUUCAUUUUAUUUUCAAAUGUUUAUGUAAUAAGUAUAUCUUGGAUCACUUAGAUUCGAGAUUACACUAACCAUGAGGAAACAAUGAGACUGGGCUCUAAAUGUAUAUCAUAUUUGUCCGAAUGUCUAGGUGUAUUUAUUUUUCUGCAGCAUCUCUAAGAUAUUGCAAUUUCCUCUGAAACCUGUUCUUUCUUCCCUAUCUCAAUUUAUUUAUUCCCUAUCUCAAUAUAUUAUCCUGUUACUCAAAGCAAAAAUCAACAUUUUUUCAAUUAAAAAAUAAGUGUACUUAUUCUUCCAAGAAAUAUUUCAGGGUCAAAGGUGAGUAUUAAUAAGCUGUAUGCCACUAGAUUUUAAUUUUAUUUUUUAUCUUGUUUUAUAAUUAUGGAUAUAUUAAAUUUUAAUACAUGUAUUUGUUAUUAUGCUAAAAAUACCCCCUUCUGAUUACGUGUGUGAUAUGGUAAUUACUUCUAUAUAAAUAAUUUCAUUCUUUUGCUGGUGAAUAUGGUGUAUACUUCUCAAGCAACAUUUUCUUAUUUCUGCUUAAAAUCAAACUGAAUUUCAAGGAGAAGCACAUGAGUAUCCCAAUUUAUUGAAAUCAAUAGUCAGAAAAAAAUAUUUUUCCUGGCUUAUCUACUGAAUGAAACACACACAUACACCUGACAUAAUGUGUAUUUUCUGAUAUUCUCUAAAGAUAAUACUCCUGUAUAAAUUUCAUUUGAUUUCAUCAAGUUUCUUUUUUUUUUUU